rnacentral:lncRNA from 1 species
UAGAUCGAAAGAUUGCAAAGCAUUAUUUAAGAACCUAUUGGCAUAUAGUUACCGUAUAAUUCAUUUCUUUGAUCCAAGUGCUCAAGGUGACCUAGGGUUUAAGUGCCAACCCUGAUAUGGUCAUUCACAUUGUAUUUCAAUUUUCAAAAUCCAUCACAUGGAUUACUCCAGUCAAGGUUUUACUGAAUUAAAACAUACUGAUAUAUUAACUCCUAUU